rnacentral:rRNA from 1 species
UACGUAGGGGGCUAGCGUUGUCCGGAAUCAUUUGGGCGUAAAGAGCGUGUAGGCGGCUUGGUAAGUCCGCUGUGAAAGUCCAGGGCUCAACCCUGGAAUGCCAGUGGAUACUGUCAAGCUAGAGUCCGGAAGAGGCGAGUGGAAUUCCUGGUGUAGCGGUGAAAUGCGCAGAUAUCAGGAGGAACACCAAUGGCGAAGGCAGCUCGUGGGACGGUACUGACGCUGAGACGCGAAAGCGUGGGGAGCAAACAGG